CUUUCUUCAGCAGCUCUGUGCACCACACCCCCACAGCACUCUCCUCAGCAUUGUGCCCCCAUUCAUUUCAGAGCUGCUUAAAUUGGCGCUCAGGUAGGAAGAUAUAGGAGAGCGUGCAGAAGGCAUUUGAAAGGGACGUGUAUUCAAAAUAUCCUGGGAGAUGCUGUACUGUGGUAUGGAUUUCCAACUGGAUAACAUUUUGCAUUUUAUGGUCCUGUCUGCAUUCCUGUGAUGCACUGGGGAAAAUGAGGAUUUUUUUGUAUUUAAGUGGAGAAAGCCACCCAUGUGAGAGAAACGUUAAAUGAUCCAUUCUUCUCAACUUUUCUCAACUCAUUUUGCUCUUUCUGUUACUCCAGUGAAUCUCUCUAUCCCACAAGCAGCCAUUCAUGCACAGCAGUUUUCCAGAGCUGACAGUGGACCUGCUUGUGUAGCAGGACCAGUUGGAUGUACGGGGAGAGUAUAAUGACCUGAUGGAUGUUGCAACACAUUUCUGCUGUGCAUGAGCUCAGCAGAGCUACAUGACAAAUGGUUUUUACUGCUCUGGCUUGCCAAAGACUUCAGUUUGUGCCUCCACCACCACUGGAGAGAUUUGUGGUUGCUCAUCACCUCAUGGAUCAGGUCUUUUUGUUAAUGAUGUCUGUGAGAACGUGUCAUGCUUGCUUACGGACACCACUUGAUGUUAAUUCCUUCAGGACUCAAGGAUAACGUGCCAGGAAUGAAGAGGAAUUGGUUGAGUUAACAAAGGGAAAAGUCACUAGCAGAAAUAAUAGUGGUGCUAUACUAGGUAUUCUUCUACUCCCAAAAGGCUAAGCUAAGGGCUGUUGAAACACAGUGCGAUCUAUUUUCCAGUUUUAUGUAUAUUUGCAUUUUGUUUUCAUGGAAAGAGGGGAAGGAAAGGUUUCACAGAGCCCAGUUGUUUGCUCUUGGUUUAGGCGAUGCUUGGUAGGUUUGCCUCCGAUGUCUUUGUUUUCAAGUGUUGCACACAAUUAUUUCCACUGAAGUCAGCAUUUCUGGAAAUCCAGGUCACUUAAGUCGUCUGACAGGGCGUGGAGCAUGACUACGUGACCUGCAGCAGCAAUCCAGGGCAAUGUGGGAGGGAAGGAUGAAGUCAGGAAGGGCCUUUUUCAUACAGGUCCUGCUGCUAAACAAACAGUUUGCAUGGCUUUCGUGUUUCCGCUGAUGACAACAGAACUUCUGACUAGAAAUAUAAUAGAUUUUGUGCUUCGCACUUAUGUUUUGCUGUGUUCACCUUGGUGGUUAUAACCCGGGAUCCUGAUCCUUCUUGUAAGAAAUGGCAGAAGCCCCACUGACAGCAGAGGGAGAGGGUGAGGUUCCCCACACGUUUUUUCCACUGGAUACAGAAAUAAAGCAGCAGACUUCAAAAUGCAGCUACUACAGUUUGUCAGGAUGUUUCUUUCCGUAUUCCUUUGCCCUUAAUGACUGCAGCCUCCAAUGGACAAGGCAGGAAGAGGGUCAGAUGUCAUAGAGUGUGAGUAGUCAUCAAUUCUAACUUGUUCAAUCACGUAUGCAGUGAAGUUUAAGAAGGCAUGAGGAUUCUACUCCGCCUUCUCUUUUGUAUGGGUCCUGGUGGAAAAAUGGCUAACACCAGAAACAUCUUGGUGAUGUAUGCAUAGCCGGCCGUAAUACAAAGCUGGAUCUGGAGGAAGAGCCGUCUGCUGAUGCAGCACUUCAGGUCAUGUUCCUGAUAACACUGUUUCCUCUACAGAUGGGACAGGCCUCCAUUCCCCUCCUUGUCAGUGUCUGCGGUGUAAGAAUCCUUGCUUGAGUGAGGCCCUCCCUUGCUUCCUUUUAUUGGCAGCAGAGCAACAGGCCUUCUCAGGAUGUGAAUCAUUGGACCUCUUUGCAACGUUGCAUUGAGGUAAGAUUAAUGUUGUCUUCCCACCAGUGACUAAGGGAGCUCCAGUGUGACUAGAUUUGAUUUAGCGUCUGCUGUACAGAAGCCUACAGCUGCUCAGAGGCAUCCCUCUUGCCUGAUUAGAACUGCUUUCUUUGCUGCAGAAUCGAUUUUGGUGAUGCAGAUCCAUGCAAAUAAAGCAGAUGGGUACAAUUAUGUUCUAUUUGCCCUAAAGUUGGAUUUGCUGUCUGUAAAGAUGACACUGCUGUUCUCCUGUAUGGACUUGAUGACUUUGAAUGUCCUUUCCAACCUCAGUGACUGUAUGGCUACUGCUCUUCUACCCUGUGUGUGGCCAUGGGACAGCCCCAGCAUGCUUGGCAGGCUGUGAGUGUGUGAGUUGGAAGAAUUACACUAGGGUAAGUACGGUGCGACUCAGGAGAGCAACAUGUCCAUGUUUCUUCUUAGGAAGUAAAAUGCUUUACAGAAUGUCAUUGUUCACAUAGGGUAGCCCCAUUCUAGAGGGCACUGUGCUCUCUUCUCUCUUUAUCGAAGUGCUACAUGUUUUAAAAGUUCUUGUGUUGAAAGCUGCAGUCUGAGUAAUGGCGAAAAAGUUUGGGGCUGCAUACUUAGCUUCCAGAAAAUGCCCACAUGAAUGUCUCUGAUUAAAAUGGAGCGACCACAAGGGAAAUUCUCAGGACAGAUGACUUCAAAUUCAAAAUAAAAAUGUAGCAGGAAAUUAAAAAAGAAAGACCUAUGACCAAUACCCAUGAAGAAUCAUUUGACCAGUCUCUAGAAUUCAGCUGCAUAACAAAUCGAGGCAAACCACCAAGAAAUAUGCAUUUGUUAUGGUUUUUCAGUUACAUUUCUCAAGUUCAAACCACAUUAAGUAAAUAAAGCUGAUUCAGGGAAUUAGUGUAUUAAGGUUUUCAUUGAUGUAAUUGUAACUGCAAAACAUACUUUACAGUAUUAAUGUCAGCAUUCAAUCAUUGCUUUAACUCUGCAGUCAGUAUAAUUGGAUGCACCUGAUAAUUAAAAGCUCAGUCCUGAUUCCUUGAUGCUUUCAGAACUUCCCUGAGCCUGUCAGUGGCUGUUUGUAUUUGAUGUGUGUACAGCUAAUAGAGAUUUGAAUGCUGAAAACUCAAAUUGUUCUGACAGUGAUGUCUCUUUUGUGUCUGUGGUGAUUUUCCUCUGGGGAGAUGGUGAAUACCCACCUGUUGUGAAUAAGCAACAAGUCACAAACUGUCCUGUUUCAAGCAAUAGCAUGACUUAGAAAUAAUUUCUUAGAAACUGGGAGGUGAAUCUUCUCCAUUGGUUCACUGGUACGUUUGAUCUUUUGUGUUUACAAUACCUGUGUGGCACUGUUGGGUGCAGAAGCACACUGCUGCCACAUGCACAGUGCUACUCAAUGGGACAUCUGGCCACUGAAAAGUACAGUGGGGAAAGAAAAUAAUACUUGGUUCUCUUUAUAAGCCUGAGAGAACAAAUAAUACAGUUGCAAGAUUAUAUUCUUUUAGGCUUUAGAAUAAAACAGUUGAGCUAGAAGGAACUUUCAGGGAUCAUCCAGUCCUGCUGUUCAUCCACUUCAGGGCCAAACAAAAGUUGAAGCAUGUUACUAAGGGCACUGUAUAAAUGCCUCUUGAAUAUGACAGCCACAGGGCACCAACCGCCUCUCUUGGAAGCCUGUUCCCAGCAUUUGAUCAACUUCAUGGUAGUGACAUUUCUCCCAGUGCUCAGUCUGACUUUGCCCUGGAGCAGGUUUGUGCCAUUCCCAUCCUGCCAUCAGUUCGUGGGAGCAGAGCCCAGCACCUCCCUCUGCUUCCCCUUCUCAGAGCUACAGGGAGCAAUGAGGUCACCUCUCAGCCUCCUCUUCUCCGGGCUGGGCAAUCCAAGUGUCCUCACUUCUCCUCACAGGACACACCUUUCAGCCCUGCUACCGGCUUGUCCUCCUCUGGAUACAAUAUUCACACAGUAUUCAAGGUGAGGCUGCACCAGUGCUAAAUAUAGGUGGGAGAAUCACCUACUGUGAUCAGCUGGCCAUGCUGUGGGCGUUCUGGUGGAUGAAAAGCUGGACGUGAGGCAGCAGUGUGCACUUGCAGCCUGGGAGGCCAACAGUGUCCUGGGCUGCAUCAACAGAGGGGUGGCAGCAGGGAGAGGGAGGGGAUUGUGCCCCUCUGCUCUGCCCUGGGGAAUGCCACUAGUGACCGUCCACCAGCCGGCUGUAGCCCCAUCCACUACAAGCCUUUGAGCUCUGAUAUCAAACCUGUUUGUCACCCAACGCAGCAUGAUCAUGCUCAUCUUGCAGUAGAGCAAUUUGUCCAGAAGGAUACUGUGAGGAACAGUAUCAAAAGGCCUUUCAAAAAUCCAGAAGGAUUACAUCCACUUCCUUCCCUUCAUUCACCAAGUGGGUGACCUUCACAUGGGAGAUAAGUCACUGAAGACUUUCCCUUUUUGAAUCCGUGCUGACUAUGCCUGAUAACAGCUUUGUUCUCUAAACGCCUUUCA
ensembl:lncRNA